rnacentral:rRNA from 1 species
AUUGAACGCUGGCGGCAGGCCUAACACAUGCAAGUCGAACGAGCGGCGGGGAGGUGUGAAAUGUGUGGGAAACUGCGUGAUAGAGGGGGAUACCUACUGGAAAAGGUGGCGAAUAACGCGCACACUCAGCUGUGCCCAGAUGGGAUUAGCUAGUAGGUGGGGUAACGGCUCACCUAGGCGCCGCUCCCCAGCUGGUCUGAGAGGAUGACCAGCCACACUGGAACUGAGACACGGUCCAGACUCCUACGGGAGGCAGCAGUGGGGAAUAUUGCACAAUGGGCGCAAGCCUGAUGCAGCCAUGCCGCGUGUGUGAAGAAGGCCUUCGGGUUGUAAAGCACUUUCAGCGGGGAGGCGUUACCCGCAGAAGAAGCACCGGCUAACUCCGUGCCAGCAGCCGCGGUAAUUC